GCCAGAUUCUGCGCUCCUAUAUAUUCGUUGGAAACCAACGUCAAUGCUUCUUCAUCUCUAGCCAGCGUCGUCGGCUGACCUCCUACCGUCGUCAUGGCUUCUCUUCACCCGUUGAUCGCUGCUGCGCUCGUAGUCGCGGCGGCCUCCACGGCAGCGGCGGCGGCGAGCUGGGCGGCACCGUCGUCGCCAGCACGCCCUCUGUUCCGCGAGUACAUCGGCGCGGAGGGCAAGAACGUGACGUUCGCGGACGUGCCGGUGCACCCGGGCGUGGACUUCCACUUCAUCCUCUCCUUCGCCAUCGACUACGCCGCGAACGCCACCAACGCCUCCGCGCCGCCGGUGCCCACGGACGGCCGCUUCGCCGUGUUCUGGGACGAGGCGAACCUCACCCCGGCCGCCGUGGCCGCCCUCAAGUGCCCCUCCUCCCGCGCCCGCGUCGCGCUCAGCCUCGGCGGCGACACCGUGUUCGGCGCCAACGCCACGUUCCGCGCGUCCUCCGUCGACGCCUGGGUCGGCAACGCCGUGGCGUCGCUCGCGGCCAUCCUCACCCGCUACGGCCUCGACGGGGUGGACGUGGACUACGAGCACUUCGGGGAGCGCGAGACGCCCGAGGUGUUCGCCGAGUGCGUCGGCCGCCUCGUGCGCGCGCUCCGGGCCCGCGGCGUCAUCUCCUUCGCCUCCAUCGCGCCCUUCGCCAACCCGGACGUGCAGGCGCACUACGCCGAGCUCUGGCGACGCUACGGCCGCGACUUCGACUACGUCAACUUCCAGUUCUACGCGUACCCGUCCAACACCACGGUGCCGGAGUUCCUGGCCCACUACGACGAGCAGAGCGCCCGGUACGCCGGCGCCGGCGGAGGGGGGAAGGUGCUCGUCAGCUUCGGGACGGACCCCGCCAGCGGCGGCCUGCGCCCCGGGAAGGGCUUCUUCAGGGCGUGCCGGGAGCUGCGCCGCCAGGGGAGGCUGCAUGGAAUCUUCGUCUGGGCCGCGGAUAACUCCGCCGCCGACGGGUUUCGCGACGAGCGCCUCGCGCAGACGUUCCUCGCCGGCAACGCCCCGGGUUUCCCCUGACGCAUGCAUGCGUUAAGCUCCCCGUGUCUCCGUUCCAUAUUUCCGUUCCUUGUGUACGUCUUGUUAUGUUUUGUCGCGUCCAUAUGAUUUUUAAUUGGUCCAGUUCAUUGAUUAUUUGCGUGCAUCC
rnacentral:misc_RNA from 1 species